GGCUGCUUUGGUAGCCUAAUUGGUUAGAGCACCUGCCUUGGAUGCAGUAGGUUGCUGGUUCGAACACUGGCUGAGUUA